rnacentral:rRNA from 2 species
ACAUGCAGUCGAGCGAUGGAUUAAGAGCUUGCUCUUAUGAAGUUAGCGGCGGACGGGUGAGUAACACGUGGGUAACCUACCCAUAAGACUGGGAUAACUCCGGGAAACCGGGGCUAAUACCGGAUAAUAUUUUGAACUGCAUAGUUCGAAAUUGAAAGGCGGCUUCGGCUGUCACUUAUGGAUGGACCCGCGUCGCAUUAGCUAGUUGGUGAGGUAACGGCUCACCAAGGCGACGAUGCGUAGCCGACCUGAGAGGGUGAUCGGCCACACUGGGACUGAGACACGGCCCAGACUCCUACGGGAGGCAGCAGUAGGGAAUCUUCCGCAAUGGACGAAAGUCUGACGGAGCAACGCCGCGUGAGUGAUGAAGGCUUUCGGGUCGUAAAACUCUGUUGUUAGGGAAGAACAAGUGCUAGUUGAAUAAGCUGGCACCUUGACGGUACCUAACCAGAAAGCCACGGCUAACUACGUGCCAGCAGCCGCGGUAAUACGUAGGUGGCAAGCGUUAUCCGGAAUUAUUGGGCGUAAAGCGCGCGCAGGUGGUUUCUUAAGUCUGAUGUGAAAGCCCACGGCUCAACCGUGGAGGGUCAUUGGAAACUGGGAGACUUGAGUGCAGAAGAGGAAAGUGGAAUUCCAUGUGUAGCGGUGAAAUGCGUAGAGAUAUGGAGGAACACCAGUGGCGAAGCGACUUUCUGGUCUGUAACUGACACUGAGCGCGAAAGCGUGGGGAGCAAACAGGAU